rnacentral:lncRNA from 1 species
AAUUUACAAAAUUUACCAUAGAUUUGGAAUGUAAAAAAUCUGCCAUAGAUUUGGGAUGGCAUGACGUCAUGAUUAGAAAAUUUAAAAAAACAACUUGCCAUAGAUUAGGAGUGUAAAAUUUUCGCCAUAGAUUUGGGAUGGCAUUACGUCAUAUUUACCAUAGAUUAGGAAUCCGCCAUAGAUUUGGAACCCACCAUAGAUUUGAGUCUUACAUAU